UACGUAGGGGGCUAGCGUUGUCCGGAAUCAUUGGGCGUAAAGCGCGUGUAGGCGGUUCGGUAAGUCCGCUGUGAAAGUCGGGGGCUCAACCCUCGGAUGCCGGUGGAUACUGUCGGACCAGAGUGCGGAAGAGGCGAGUGGAAUUCCUGGUGUAGCGGUGAAAUGCGCAGAUAUCAGGAGGAACACCGAUUGCGAAGGCAGCUCGCUGGGACGUUACUGACGCUGAGACGCGAAAGCGUGGGGAGCAAACAGG
rnacentral:rRNA from 1 species